rnacentral:rRNA from 1 species
AGGGAAAGAGCCCAGCACCGAAUCUCUAUCGCCUCGAGCGCUAGCGAAAUGUGGUGUUUGGGAGGGUCCGUAAUUCCGGGGCUCGCCUUGCCGAGUCCAAGUCCUUCUUGAACGGGGCCACGGUCCGUAGAGGGUGCCAGACCCGUAGCGGCCGGUGGCGUCCCCGGUUGGGCCUCUCCUUAGAGUCGGGUUGCUUGAGAGUGCAGCCUAAAGUGGGUGGUAAACUCCAUCUAAGGCUAAAUAUUACCACGAGACCGAUAGCGAACAAGUACCGUGAGGGAAAGUUGAAAAGAACUUUGAAGAGAGAGUUCAAUAGUACGUGAAAUCGUUCAGGGGUAAACGGGGAAGACUUGAAAAUCCGAAAAGAGAGAUUCACGUCUUCCGCAGGCCUCGUCAAGCCCGCCCGCGGAUGGUCGUACUCCCUCGCUCUGGCUCCGGUCCGAGCGCUGGUGGGUCGGCCGACCGGUCGGGCGCGUCGGGGCCGCGGAGGACCGCACUUCUCUCUCAGUAGGACGUCGCGACCCGUUCGGAGGCAGGCCUGAUGCCCGGCCAGAAGUCUCGAGUCAGCGGUGGUCUUCGGACCCUCGCCCUCGAGUCGGUUGAGGCAGGGCGGCGUUACGGACGGUAGUUAAUGACGGUGUCGAACCGCUCACACGAGCGCCCGUGACCAUUUCCGAGUCGGCCGUCGAGCGCCGGCUGCGGGCCUCCCGGGGCCCGCGCCGUUUCGCGAUCGGUGGUCCGGGGAGUGGGUCCUUGGGGCCGGUUCACAGCACCUGUCGGGGAACGCCGCAGUUUCGAGCUCUUACCCCGGCCCGUCUUGAAACACGGAACCAAGAGAUCCAACGUGUGCGGCCAAAUCCUUUGGGUGAAAAACCCAAUGGCGUAAUUAAGGUGAAGCGGAUUUCCUUCUGCUAGGGAGGAGGAGGGUCCGCCCUUCGCGGGUGGCUCUCCGCACUCCCGGGGCGUCUCUUGCUCAUUGCGAGCUGAGGCGCACCUAGAGCGUACACGUUGGGACCCGAAAGAUGGUGAACUAUGCCUGGCCAGGACGAAGCCAGGGGAAACCCUGGUGGAGGUCUGGAGCGCUUCUGACGUGCAAAUCGAUCGUCGGAGCUGGGUAUAGGGGCGAAAGACUAAUCGAACCAUCUAGUAGCUGGUUCCCUCCGAAGUUUCCCUCAGGAUAGCUGGCGCCCAGGUGAGACGAGUCUCAUCUGGUAAAGCGAAUGAUUAGAGGCCUUGGGGUCGAAACGACCUCAACCUAUUCUCAAACUUUAAAUGGAUGAGAACCCCGGCUUGCUUGGGUUGGUGAAGCCGGGGCUCGGAUCCGGGUGCCAAGUGGGCCAAUUUUGGUAAGCAGAACUGGCGCUGUGGGAUGAACCAAACGCGGAGUUAAGGCGCCAAAAUCGACGCUCAUCAGACACCAUGAAAGGCGUUGGUUGCUUAAGACAGCAGGACGGUGGCCAUGGAAGUCGGAAUCCGCUAAGGAGUGUGUAACAACUCACCUGCCGAAGCAACUAGCCCUGAAAAUGGAUGGCGCUGUAGCGUCGUGCCUAUACUCCGCCGCCAACGGCAAACCCGGCGCGGUCUCCCAGAGGGACCGGUCGCUGUUACGCCUUGGUGAGUAGGAGGGCCGCGGCGAUGUGCGUAGAAGGGUCUAGGCGUGAGCCUGCCUGGAGCCGUCGCCGGCGCAGAUCUUGGUGGUAGUAGCAAAUACUCCAGCGAGGCCCUGGAGGACUGAUGUGGAGAAGGGUUUCUUGUGAACAGCCGUUGCACAAGAGUCAGUCGGUCCUAAGCCCUAGGAGAAAUCCGAUGUCGAUGGGCGCCGUUACCUAUCUCUUGCCAGGUCACUCGCCGGUCCCCUUCCCAGGAGAUCAAAGGGAGUUUGACCUAGACAGUUGAUCGAUGGCGCCCUAGGUUGGGCGAAAGGGAAUCCGGUUCCUAUUCCGGAACCUGGCAGCGGAACCGUUUCCAGUCGUGCCCUCUCGCGAGAGCUCGUCGGGGUAACCCAAAAGGACCCGGAGACGCCGUCGGGAGAUCCAGGGAGAGUUGUCUCUUCUCUAUAAGCGUUCGAGUUCCCUGGAAACCUCUAGCAGGGAGAUAGGGUUUGGAGCGCGAAGAGCACCGCAGUUACGGCGGUGUCUGGAUCUUCCCCUCGGACCUUGAAAAUCCGGGUGAGGGCUACGAGGAACACCGCGCCAGACCGUACCCAUAUCCGCAGCAGGUCUCCAAGGUCAACAGCCUCUAGUCGUUAGAAUAAUGUAGGUAAGGGAAGUCGGCAAACUGGAUCCGUAACCUUGGGAUAAGGAUUGGCUCUGAGGAUCGUGGUGUGCCGGGCUUGGUUGGGAAGUGGAGCGGUGUCAACGAUCCGGGCCUGGGCGAGGAGAGUGGCGCAUCCGCGUUCAUGAUCCUCUGCUCGGUCCCGCGACUUGGCCACCCACGGAUCUUCCUUGCUGCGAGCUGCCGGGUGCCUAGUCACUAGCUUCGGCCGGAGGACGGGCCGGCU